CCUACGGGAGGCAGCAGUGAGGAAUAUUGGUCAAUGGGCGGGAGCCUGAACCAGCCAAGUCGCGUGAGGGAAGACGGUCCUAUGGAUUGUAAACCUCUUUAGGCGGGGAGCAAUGCCGGGCACGUGUGCCCGGAGGGAGAGUACCCGCAGAAUAAGCAUCGGCUAACUCCGUGCCAGCAGCCGCGGUAAUACGGAGGAUGCGAGCGUUAUCCGGAUUUAUGGGGUUUAAAGGGUGCGUAGGCGGAUUUUUAAGUCAGCGGUAAAAUGUCCGGGCUCAAGCCGGGCCGGCCGUUGAAACUGGGGAUCUUGAGUGGGCGAGAAGUAUGCGGAAUGCGUGGUGUAGCGGUGAAAUGCAUAGAUAUCACGCAGAACUCCGAUUGCGAAGGCAGCAUACCGGCGCCCGACUGACGCUGAGGCACGAAAGCGUGGGGAUCGAACAGGAUUAGAUACCCGAGUAGUC
rnacentral:rRNA from 1 species